AGAGCAGGCUGACAGCCUCCCUGCAGAGAGAGGGGCGGUUUCUUCUUCUGAGGUGUUGGCAAGCCAGGCACAGAUUUCUGGGCAGAAGCUUCACACUUGGAAAGGAUAAUGAAGUCAUGAACAGGAGGAGGAAGAUUCUGCGCAUUCUAGGUCUGAGCCCCUCUGGGACCCUCUCUCCCUGCACCUGUGUCGGUGGCCACGUCGACUCCAUGUUUCCUAGUGUUUGCUGUCUGGCUGACUUGACUGCAGAUUCAGCCUUUUGCUUUGAACCUGUGUUUGACAUUGAAACUUGAGUGGGUCCCCUAUAAACAGCAGAAGCCUGUUUUAACUUGAAGGUGAGUGGACCGGACCGCGAGGUGGUUCACCAGGGAGCCCACCUGCCCACCUGCCUUGCCGCGCACACGACUCAGGUUCCAGUCUCAACCCCCCACAAAGCCAGGGCAAGCCGUGGUGCUGUGCUGUCUCUCUGUCUCUCUGUCUCACUGUGUACUGAUCUGGAACAGAGAAGCCCUGGUAAUCACAUACGAAAACCACAAAUUGGAUUCAGCAAGGAGCAGCUUCAGAGUCUCAGAGUGGACCCUGUGUGCCGUGCUGAGCAGUGUGCUGCGACCCGGUGACACUGCUCCAGCUGUCGCCCCCAUGUCAGGGCUGAUAAAGGCGGGUCCUGGCAAGGCCAUGCCAACUCCUCCAGCUCACACACCUCUAGUGAGAAGCAAGCCGGAUGUCUGGCUCCAAAGCUGAUUCUGUCAAACCCAUGUCUACAAGGCCUCGGUACUUGGUGCUGUGCUAGUCCAGUUCUUUCCACAAUUACUGUCUUGCUUUAAGGAUUUAUUCUACUGAUUUAACAUGAGAAAGAUGAGAGAGAGAGAGAGAGAGAGAGAGAGAGAGAGAGCAGAAUACCACCCUCCUGCAUGCAGUGUUUGUGACCAUACCAGAGCCCAGACUUGCAAGCUACCCACUCUGCCAGCUGAGCUAUCACCUUGUCGCUGUCACUGUUUCUCCCGCCUGCCCCCUAGAGCAUGGUGUUAUCUUCAAAUCUCGGUGUUAACAGGCCCGGCUGUCAUAACGUCCUGUCCAUCCUCCCCCCAAGUGUAACCGACAGCACUGGCUGGGCCUCUCAGCCCCCAAGACAACCUUAGGGACUGUGAAAGCAGAGUCCGGACGGCCAGGAAACCAGCUCCCUUGACCAGCAUCAGCACGCACGUGGCAGCUCUGAUGUGACUGACCGGAUAUGUUUGCUGGCGGGUCCUGUCAGUCACCCACCAUGACAACGUCAUUCUUGGCAGGGCCCAGAAAGAGCAUGGAGUGGCCGCAGCUCUCCUCGGCUGGCCAAGCCCAGUUAGGGCUCCUUGUCUUUCGUGAUGCUGAGCAGACGUGACUGGAAAGUUCCCUGAGCUGCGCUGAGCUCCUCUACCUCUUGGGGUCCGAGUUUUUGUCUAGAAACCUAGUUUUUGUCACCAGCUGGUCUCCGUGAAUCCCUUUGAAACCGCUCCCUGGAAUGGGAGUUAUAAUGGAGCCCGAGAAAACUGAUUCUUGGGGAGACAGACCUUUGUGCUGGACUCAAACCCCUGUGGGGAAGGUUAAAGCUCUUCUCUGUUUUAAAAUUUCUUUAUUAGUGAUUUAAUGAUGAGCAAGAUUAUAAGGUAACAGCGGUACAAUCCCACACAGUUCCCACCACCAGAAUUCCCUGUCCCAUCCCCUCCACUGGAGGCUUCCCUGUUCUUUAUCCCUCUGGGA